CUCCCCCUCCCAUCCAAUUUACAGAACCACGUGUGGGGUUCUACAUCUCCUUCCUCAGUUCUCCAGUUUCUUAUACAGUUUGGGUUUGAGGGGUUUUUUGGGUUUUUUUGUUUGUUUGUUUGCUUUUUUCUUUUCUUUUUUCCUUUUUCCUAUUUUUUCCCUCUCUCUCUUAAUGGUAAGAAAAUUAAUGCAGAGUGAGAAACGGGUCUGAAUUCGGAUCGCAGAGCCAACAGAAAGAGUACAGGACCUACAGAGCUAAUCAGACUUGCUGGACUAGCUGAUCCCCUGGGAUGAGCUGCUGACUACCUGAGAGAAUCCUAGCCUCCUAGCUCGGAGGGAACAGAGAAGCAUUGAGCAAGAAGCUAGGUUUUCACAGAGUGGACGCGAAAUCAACAAAGGAAAACCCUCCUGUCUGAGAACCGGUUUCUCAGCCUGGCUUGGAGGGGUAAGAGGAAUAGAUACAGCAGCAGUCUCCUGUCGUGGCCACUCUCCCCUUGCUCCCUCCUGCGCACCACCUUUUCACCAGAGUGGCUCUCCAGUCUAGCCAGCCUGCGGGGCUCCUAGCUUUGGCUUCCAGUAAAGCGCCAGCAGCCGUGACUCGGACACUUGGUGCUGAAACUAGAUCUUUCACCAAGGCUGGAGGCGAGGCGCCAGCCUAGAGCCAGAGGUGGCUGCCGCCCACGGUCCCCAGAACGUGGAGGGCAUCCUGGACCCCCAUCCCCCAGCUGACACAACCCUCCCCUUGGCCACCUUCAGGACCUCACCAGGAAUGUUAGAACACUCAACACGUAGUGAGAAGGCAAGGAGCAAAGCCACGGUGUGCUGUAAAGAAAAUACUCUUUCAUCCGAGGAGCCACAGGUGUGGAGCGUUGAAACGCUUUGAAGAAGUGUGUUGCUAAUAGCCCAUAUAUAAUUGCAGAGAAGUCUUCAAUGGAAGCCCUUCGUGAGAUAAAUGGACAGUCUGUACUAGUGGGCUUUGAGUAUUCUUUUCAGAAGGAAAUAUUUCAUAAAGAAAUGAUACUGCUCUAUGAAACAUCUAAUAAUCUGCAGUACCAGAAUCAGGAGGAAUGGCACACGUUUGGAACCCCAUUACUGGGAAGGGGC
rnacentral:lncRNA from 1 species